GGGAUAGAAAUCAGACCCUGACUCUCUCAGCUGUGUUGGACCCGGGGUUGGACUGUGAAAGAGCACAAUGUCUGGACACUGAGUUAAGGCAGCAAGAAGGGCCCUGCAGUCCUUCCAGCACACAUGCUCACUGCGUACAGCUGCUCUUCAAAAGCGUGUCCAAGUCGUCAAACACACCAGCAGGGUGAUCGCUAGCAACCUGCACCCAAUGAAAGCAGAAGGCCACCCAGGCAGCGAGGAUCAGCCGCUUUUUCCCCCAGCCAGUAUUACACUGGUGACUAACCGCCAGAUAUGGGUGCACUAGAACCAGUCUAGGGAACAGCAGAGCUUCAAAACCUGGAUUAACUGGUUUCACAACACAAUUCCACACGCAUUUGGAAACCAGCCAUUACGGGAGGUGAUUAUAUAUGGCUUAACUAAGAGGCAGACCGAACCCACUGGCUGAGUGACCAGAGACACCACAGUGCUCAGCUGAAUUGUACAGAUGAGAACAAAACUCUGGUCUAAGCUUUGGCCCCAGGAAUACCCAGGCAGCUGCUGCUUCAACUGAUGGAGUCUGGCCAGGAGUGGUGGUAGAAGAGCAUUUGCAGCAUUUCAUGUUUGCGCAGGAGAGUCUGGAAAAUGAAAUCUACUCUGCAUUGACAGCAAACAAGAGCAUGAGCUAGCCUAGGACUUUUGUGAUGGGAGAAAAAGAAAACAAAACACCCAGCAAAUAAAUCAAUACACAGAACAGCUGACUUGGGGAAAAAAAAAACCAAAGAAGUCACAUGAUCUCAUUUAUUAUAUUUCAAUAACACCUCGAAGCGCCGACUGAGAUUGUGACCCUGUCGUGCCUUGCACACACAUGCAGUGAGAGACUGUCCCUGCCCCAGACUACGAAAGAAAUAAGACAAAAAGUGGGAGGGGAAAACAGACCCAGACAGGUGACAUGACUUGACCUGCAGGUGGCCGGGAACAGAACCCGGUCUCCCACACCAGAGCUGUAUGUUGUGAACAUCAAGGGAAUCUGGAAGCAACAGCUAAGCUAGAGAAGUUUAACAAAGGAAAAAAAAGAAACCGAAGUGAAAGUACCACGGCCUUGCCCAGCACAUAAGCAAUCAGCCCACCAAGAAUAAAUGACUCAAAAAUGAACACCGAGAGCUGUCUACUUUACCCGAGUGCCAUCAGACAGGCCCACGCUAACUGACUGAGGCUGAGUUCUACGAGAAGAAACAGAGCCUCUUGCAAACAGCCAGCUGGCAGCAUCAUGGGCCCAAGUGAAACCCAGGCUUAUGGAGCUGAGGGGCCUGCAGGACUCAUGCAGGGAAGAAUGUGAAUCCCCACCAUGGACCCAAGAAGCCCACAGCCGCUCUGGGGAGUCUUUCAAAAACAAAGACCAUAAAGGAGCUGUUUGUUCUCCCAUCAAAACAUUCUCUGUGAAAAACCAGAGACAAGAAUCUCCAGCCCCUCCUUCCCCCCAUGUUAGAUCCCAUCCAUUAUCCCCAGUGAGCUUCCGAAUACAUACGGGCAGUUAUUGUCCAGCCCAUCGUUACUUCUCCUGCAUCUUCCCUCCUUAAACACUCAACAGGAGGCAAGUUCCUGCCCCCAAACAGCCCCAGGAGACGGGACAAGGAGGGACUGCACUGCACACCAACCUUUACGCCUAGGUUCUAUCCAGCAGUCCCCCACCUUUUAAUACUGCAUCGUUCAAAGGAAAGGAAAGUCUCGGAGGAAGGGACCCUGGUUCCCACCCAGAUGGGACAGCAACCAGAAAUUCCAGGGCUUGAAUUUUGUACUAGGUCUCCACUUAUAUGAUGUAGCCACAGAUAAAAAGUAUCAGGUAUAUUUAAGACACAGAGGUGAAAUAUAAGUAUUAAUUAAUGUUGUAACACAGGGCCCCAGGCCCAUAAAAUAGCAUAUGCUAAUUUAUCCUAAGGCCUAAUUUGGCUAAGUAAAUUAGUAAUAAACCUACUGAACUUG